rnacentral:rRNA from 1 species
UGUAAUAUAAAGGGCCGCAGUCUAAUAAUUGUGCAAAGGUAGCAUAAUAGAUUGUCUUUUAAUUGAGGACNGGAAUGAAAGGAGUAACAAAAGUAAAAUUUUCUUAUAUAUUUAUUAAAAAUUUAUGUUUCUGUAAAAAAGCAGAAUUAACAUUAAGGGACGAUAAGACCCUAUAAAUUUUCACUUACAUAAAAUAUCAAGUUAUAAAAAUAGAGUAAGAUUAGAUGGGGCAACUAAUUUAUAAAAUUAAUUUUGUAUUUACAUUUUACAUGGAAGAAAGAGCGUUAAUUAAUUAACCAGGAGAAAUAAAUACUUUAGGGAUAACAGAGUAAUAAUUUUGGAGAGAUCUUAUCAAUAAAAUUGGUUACUACCUCGAUGUUGAAUUAAAAAGUUCUGAAGGUGUANAAUAUUUCANAAAAAGUCUGUUC